rnacentral:rRNA from 1 species
CUACGGGUUGCAGCAGUGAGGAAUUUUGCGCAAUGGGGGAAACCCUGACGCAGCAACGCCGCGUGAGCGAAGAAGGCCUUCGGGUCGUAAAGCUCUGUCAAGUGGGAAAAAAAUUCUUUGAUCAAUAGUCAAAGGACUUGAUGGUACCACUGGAGGAAGCACCGGCUAACUCCGUGCCAGCAGCCGCGGUAAUACGGAGGGUGCAAGCGUUGGUCGGAAUUACUGGGCGUAAAGAGCGUGUAGGCGGUUUGGCAAGUCAGAUGUGAAAGCCCUGGGCUCAACCUGGGAAGUGCAUUUGAAACUGCUUGACUAGAGUAUGGGGGAGGAGAUUGGAAUUCCUGGUGUAGAGGUGAAAUUCGUAGAUAUCAGGAGGAACGCCCGUGGCGAAGGCGAUUCUCUGGACCAAUACUGACGCUGAGACGCGAAAGCGUGGGGAGCAAACAGGAUUAGAUACCCGGGUAGUC